CCGCGUGAGUGACGAAGGCCUUCGGGUUGUAAAGCUCUGUUCUCAGGGAAAGAGAAAGUGAUUGUACCUGAGAAGAAAGGACCGGCUAACUUCGUGC
rnacentral:rRNA from 1 species